rnacentral:lncRNA from 1 species
CUGUGGGAACAAGCCACCCCAUGGGUGGCCAAGGACGGCACUGGGAAGGAGAGAAGAAACAAGGCAGAGCAAGACGAGACAACCCAUGGAAGUUGCCAUGUGAGUUACCUUCGCUGUAUUAUGUUAUACGAGAAGAGUGUUGCUGGUUGAUUGUUUCUUCUCCUCUUGUGGAUGGUUUCAUAAGAUGGGCAUAUGGUGGUAUAUAUAGCUGCAGGAAGUGGGUGUAGUGCAUGUAAGGAAAGGAGAGUUGGUUUGGAGCAGGGGACGGUGGGGUCAGAUGCAGCAGUCAGCCGGGUUGUUAGGGUGAUGCGUAUAGUAUAAGGUAGCUAGCAAGAACUGUAGCAACUGCUAUAGUAAUCCCAUCAAGUUACAAUUCAGCUCUUACGUUCUUUGUAGCGGUUUGGUGCUUCAGUUUUAGCUCAAAGUGACAGAUUAAAAUUUUGGUCCUGGACAAGCGUAGGUGGAGUGAAAACAGCUCUGCCACUUAUUAAACAGCAAGCACUGCUACAUUUUUCUUCAAGGGCUGGAAUAAUGUGAAGGAGUGAAACUAAAAUGACGAACCUAUGAUUAAUUGAUGAUUAUGCUGCUCAUAUAUGCACAUGCAUUAUGCAACUUGCCUGUUGAACAAAACUGCCUAAAGAGUAGAAGAACAUCAUGCAAUUUUAUUGUGAACAAUCGCAUUAUGUAACAGCAUCAUAUCCUGGAUCUGGAGUCGUCCAGGAAUGGACUUAAACUACCAUAACAGGACAGGUGUCGCUUUACAGUAGAUGAGUCAUUGUUCUAACUUUAUCCUAGAUGUAUCAAGUUUGUGCUAGGCCCCACCCAUAACAAAGUAGUGAUAUACUGAUAUAUUUGUCGAACCAUAUUUAAACCUUACGCAGCACAUGACAAUAUAGCAUACACUGUCUGAACUCAAGUAACCAAAGUACAAAAAGGCCAGCGAAAAGUGAGAUUUUGCUUCUGAAAUAAUCCAACUACUUUUGUUAUACUUAAGUGUCGUUAUCUGCAGGGAAGGGAGGGUUGUGUCGAGCAUGGAUUCGUAUCCCUGUCUUUGGGGACAAAAGUGUAUACGAAUGAUGCUACAGCGGCACGCCUUUUUUUCGCACAAGCUUCAUAUGUAUAGGUAACGUCUAAGAUUUAUCGCUCGUCUCGUGGUUUCACACCUUAAAGUUUGCUAUAUCAGCGUAGUGAUCAAUACGAAAGAUGGAUGAUUCAUCAAACGGCCGGAGCGCGUGCGUGCCUAAAACAUGACUGGCUUCUGCUGUCCAAUGCAGGAAACCUAUAGCCGGUCCUGCAGCCAACACACACGCAUGCUUCCGAUCAGGUCAAACGCGGGGUGUGAUGUACCAACGCCCAGUACACGGCGCGUCGUGAUGAUUCGCGUUAGGUGCUUGUGUUUGCAUGGCCUACAUUCAUGUCAGCACGACCGGGUUCCUCGAAGGAGGCGUUGGUUGGAAAGCUUCCACACUGACAUGACUACUGGUACCCGUAGGAGCUGCUUACAUUUGUUCUUCUGCACACCACAUAGUGAGUGGCCGUUUCUUGAAGGAAACAUCGAUCGGCGUUGGUUGCUACUGUUAAAUAAACAUAAAGGAGGCCAUGCUGAAAAUAAGGAAGUAUUGUGAGAUUAUUUAUACGACGUCAUAUCAUAACGCAGUUAGCAGAGGAAGAAACAGCAGAGAGAAGAGCUCAUGGAGAACGUGAGCUAUAGUGGCGUACAACAGUGGUUUUCUAUCUAUGUAUAUCAUUGGCUAGACAAAUACUGUACCUCUGUAUUGCGAUG